rnacentral:rRNA from 1 species
UACGUAGGGGGGCAAGCGUUGUCCGGAUUUAUUGGGCGUAAAGAGCGUGUAGGCGGCUUGGUAGGUCCGCUGUGAAAACUCGAGGCUCAACCUCGAGAUGUCGGCGGAAACCACUUGGCUAGAGUCCGGAAGAGGAGAGUGGAAUUCCUGGUGUAGCGGUGAAAUGCGCAGAUAUCAGGAAGAACACCUAUGGCGAAGGCAGCUCUCUGGGACGGUACUGACGCUGAGACGCGAAAAGCGUGGGGAGCGAACAGG